CCUGGCGGCCGUAGCGCGGUGGUCCCACCUGACCCCAUGCCGAACUCAGAAGUGAAACGCCGUAGCGCCGAUGGUAGUGUGGGGGCUCCCCAUGCGAGAGUAGGGAACUGCCAGAC
rnacentral:rRNA from 1 species